rnacentral:rRNA from 1 species
GACGAACGCUGGCGGCGUGCCUAAUACAUGCAAGUCGAACGCAUUUUCUUUCACCGUAGCUUGCUACACCGAAAGAAAAUGAGUGGCGAACGGGUGAGUAACACGUGGGUAACCUGCCCAUCAGCGGGGGAUAACACUUGGAAACAGGUGCUAAUACCGCAUAAUUCCAUUUACCGCAUGGUAGAUGGAUGAAAGGCGCUUUUGCGUCACUGAUGGAUGGACCCGCGGUGCAUUAGCUAGUUGGUGGGGUAACGGCCUACCAAGGCUGCGAUGCAUAGCCGACUUGAGAGGGUGAUCGGCCACACUGGGACUGAGACACGGCCCAGACUCCUACGGGAGGCAGCAGUAGGGAAUCUUCGGCAAUGGACACAAGUCUGACCGAGCAACGCCGCGUGAGUGAAGAAGGUUUUCGGAUCGUAAAACUCUGUUGUUAGAGAAGAACAAGGAUGAGAGUGGAAAGUUCAUCCCUUGACGGUAUCUAACCAGAAAGCCACGGCUAACUACGUG